rnacentral:rRNA from 1 species
AUUGAACGCUGGCGGCAUGCCUUACACAUGCAAGUCGAACGGCAGCACGGGAGCAAUCCUGGUGGCGAGUGGCGAACGGGUGAGUAAAGUAUCGGAACGUGCCCAGUCGUGGGGGAUAACGUAGCGAAAGUUACGCUAAUACCGCAUACGAUCUAUGGAUGAAAGCGGGGGAUCGCAAGACCACGCGCGAUUGGAGCGGCCGAUAUCAGAUGAGGUGGUUGGUGGGGUAAAGGCUCACCAAGCCGACGAUCUGUAGCUGGUCUGAGAGGACGACCGGCCACACUGGGACUGAGACACGGCCCAGACUCCUACGGGAGGCAGCAGUGGGGAAUUUUGGACAAUGGGCGAAAGCCUGAUCCAGCCAUGCCGCGUGCAGGAUGAAGGCCUUCGGGUUGUAAACUGCUUUUGUACGGAACGAAAAGGUUUGGGCUAAUAAGCUGAGCUCAUGACGGUACCGUAAGAAUAAGCACCGGCUAACUACGUGCCAGCCGCCGCCGUAA